rnacentral:rRNA from 1 species
CAGUAGCCGCGGGAAUACGAAGGUCCCGAGCGUUGUUCGGAAUCACUGGGCGUAAAGGGAGCGUAGGCGGCGUGGUAAGUCAGAUGUGAAAUCCCGGGGCUCAACCCCGGAACUGCAUCCGAUACUGCCAUGCUAGAGGAUUGGAGAGGUAGCUGGAAUUCUUGGUGUGGCAGUGAAAUGCGUGGAGAUCAAGAGGAACACUCGUGGCGAAAGCGAGCUACUGGACAAUAACUGACGCUGAGGCUCGAAGGCCAGGGUAGCGAAAGGGAUUAGAUACCCGAGUAGUCCCUGUCUCUUAUAC